GGAGCAAAAAAGGUUUAAAGGCCCUCUCUUUUCAUUCGAUGGGAUGCUCUUACGAUAUGUAGGGGUGCUAUGUGAUUAGAUUCUAUGAAGAAGAAUAUGAAAGGAAGAACUUACUUUUUCAUAAAACUCUAGAUCUUGAAAUCCUAGGUUUGUUGUAUGUGAUACAAAAUUGUAUGAAAUAUAAGACAUCUAAUCUAUAUGAUUAAAAUUAUUUUAAUUAUGACAAAAUAAAAUUUUGAAUUAUAAAAAUUUUAGAUAUAAUCUAAAAGUAUUAUGAUUGAUUUUAUUUUAGUGUUAUGCAAGAAUCU
rnacentral:lncRNA from 1 species